UGAAACUGCUAAACCAGUGGAGACAAGCUAGAGGAACCACACAACUGGUAAAAUAAACUUAUUGACAAUAACUUGUUGCAGCCAAGCAUACUAAUAUUUUUAGAGAGGGAGUGUGGGCUGAUGAAAGCAAAGACACUGUGAAAGAGCAUGGCUGAGGGAGCAGACGGACUGCUCUCAUGAUGUCUGUGUGACUGGCUCAGGCUUGUCCAGAAGCUCGAGCACCAGUAAAAGCACUGGAUUGCUUCGUCCACUCUUCAACUCUCCUUGCUCCAUUUCCGAUUCUACUCAUCUUGUUGCUGAUGGAUUUUCUAAGUCUGUAAAGGAGAAGCACAAUCAAUUGCAGAGCCUUGGACAAGCCUGCACAGUGGGGACCUAUUACUAAUUCUGAGGAAGAACCUCUGGAGUUCCUUGAAAAGGGCAUCAUGAAUUGAAUUGUGCUCCCCUCAAAAGCAACAACAAAAAUAAAACCGCCUAUGGAGAAUCCCUAACAACCAAUGUGAUGGUAUUUGGAAGAAAUAAUUCUGUUUAGAAGAAGUUGGGGAGGUAAUUAGCUUUAGAAGAACUUGUGAGACUGGGCUCCCAUGAUGGAAUUAAUGUCCUUAGAGAAAGUGGAAGAGACACAGGAGCUCUCUUUCUCUCCACCAAGAGAGGGCCCAGUGAGGAGGUCACCAUCUGUAAAUCAACAGGAAUGCUCAUACUAGAAAGAAGAUCAGCUGGAACCUUGAUCUUGGACUUCCCGUCCUCCCGAAC